rnacentral:rRNA from 1 species
AUGUAUUGCGCUAAAAGCCGUGAUGCUACCAUUGUGCUUGAGGCCGUAGCAUCUCAGGACACAUGGAUUUGGCAUGCAUUCUUUGGGUUGCCGGGAACACUCAAUGAUAUCAAUAUCCUCAAUAGAUCUCCUUUGUUCAAAAGAUUAAUUUCUGGGGAUGCUCCACAAUGCAACUACAAAAUCAUGGACAAUGAGUACUCAAUGGGAUACUAUCUCACCGAUGGCAUCUAUCCCGAAUGGGCAACUCUUGUGAAGUCCAUCAAGGAGAAAAAUGGGGUGCCCUUAACAAGAAAAGAGGCUCAUUUCACCAAGGCACAAGAGGCAGCCCGCAAGGAUAUUGAGAGAGCUUUCGGUAUUUUGCAAGCAAGGUUUGCCAUAGUUCAUGGUCCAGCUCGGUUUUGA